GCAAGGCUGAGGACAAGGAGGGGACGCCCGUCACCAAGCCGGGCUGCCUGGUCAGGGACAUGAAGAUCAAGUCCCCGGAGGAGAUCUCUCUCUUCUCUCUGCCCAUCAAGGAAUCUGAGAUCACUGACUUUUUCCUGGGGGCCGCACUCAAGGAUGAGGUUUUGAAGAUGAUGCCGGUGCAGAAGCAGACCCGGUGGCCAGCACACCAGGUUCAAGGCGUUUGCUGCCUCUGGGGACUACAAUGGCCACGUCGGUCUGGGUAUUAAGUGCUCCAAGGAGGUGGCCACCGCCAUCCGUGGGGCCAUCACCCUGGGCAAGCUCUCCAUUGUCCCCGUGCGCAGAGGCUACUGGGGGAACAAGUUCGGCAAGCCCCACACCGUCCCUUGCAAGGUGACGGGCCACUGUGGCUCUGUGCUGGGGCCUCCUCCCUGCACCCAGGGGCACUGGCAUUGUCUCAGCCCCUGUGCCCAAGAAGCUGCUCAUGAUGGCUGGUAUCAGUGACUGCCACACCUCAGCCAGGGGGUGCACUGCCACCCGACAAGGCCACCUUUGAUGCCAUCUCUGACUUACAGCUACCUGACCCCCGACCUCUGGAAGGAGCCUGUAUUCACCAAGUCUCCGUAUCAGGAAUUCACUGACCACCUCGUCAAGACCCACACCAAAGUCUCCGUGCAGAGGACCCACGCUCCAGCUGUGGCCACAACAAAGGGUUUUUAUACAAGAAAAAUAAAUGUGUUAACCCUGAAAAAACAAAACAACAGAAAAUGAGGCCAAAGAGCC